rnacentral:miRNA from 8 species
CACGGGUCACGGGGAAUGCGCA